rnacentral:rRNA from 1 species
AUUGAACGCUGGCGGCAUGCCUUACACAUGCAAGUCGAACGGCAGCACGGGAGCAAUCCUGGUGGCGAGUGGCGAACGGGUGAGUAAAGUAUCGGAACGUGCCCAGUCGUGGGGGAUAACGUAGCGAAAGUUACGCUAAUACCGCAUACGAUCUAUGGAUGAAAGCGGGGGAUCGCAAGACCUCGCGCGAUUGGAGCGGCCGAUAUCAGAUUAGGUAGUUGGUGGGGUAAAGGCUCACCAAGCCGACGAUCUGUAGCUGGUCUGAGAGGACGACCGGCCACAGUGGGACUGGGACACGGCCCAGACUCCUACGGGAGGAAGCAGUGGGGAAUUUUGGACAAUGGGCGAAAGCCUGAUCCAGCCAUGCCGCGUGCAGGAUGAAGGCCUUCGGGUUGUAAACUGCUUUUGUACGGAACGAAAAGGUUUGGGCUAAUAAGCUGAGCUCAUGACGGUACCGUAAGAAUAAGCACCGGCUAACUACGUGCCAGCCGCCGCCGUAA